ACAUUGCAAGACUAAUCCCACAAGCUUGCUGGGCUUCACCCCAACUCACUUUUAACGAUGCCGUUUGUGUGAAUUGUGUUGUCUGGUUUGACAGACAGUUCUCUGAAGAUCUUGUUGAUUGUUGUAUCAAAUUGUCCAGUUUGAUUUUUGAUGGAUUAGGGCUCGUGAUAGACUGUAUUCUUCGCAGUUGUAGAGGAGAGUAGGAGCGGAUGGAUUUGCCGAGGAAGGUGGAGAACAUGAACUCCCUUGAAGAACAACGACGCUUACUUUGGGGUUGGUGCAGAUUAAGGGUGAAGCGGGGAAGAGGAGUGUGUCGUGGCUUCUGGAACGAUGGAGGAUUGUUGCAGGAACAGGUUUUUGAUGUGUGGUUAAAUUUCGUGAGGGCAUUCGACGAAGAAGCUGGUGAUGCAGCGGCGAUUGACCCAGUAGGCCUGCCCAAGUGCCGCAGGCAGCUCAACUAAUGGUGCCAAAGUUAAGAUGGAUCUUUUCACUUACCAUCACUGGUGAUCUUUUUAUUCCGAGUAUCUUCUUACCAUCAGCAAAGGAUUCUGGGCCAUAGUUGAAUUCCUGAUGUAGUUGGCGAGCAUAGUAGCUGGAGAGAACCAUGGGGGUGACGAUAUACCUCAUUCCUUCCACGUCUUUACAGAUACUUUCAUGUUAUACAUUAUGUGAGUAUGUUGUCUUAUAGUUUUAUGACCUGUGUUGCAAGAUUUGCGCAUGGGAUAUUGAAGUAUUUCGAGGAGUUCACAUGAUGUGAAGGAAUCACUGUGGUGGCAACAACGGCAUGAAAAAGACGUAUUCUGAAGGAUUGGCCGAUGCACGGUGGUGUGAAGACGAAGAUGAUGGUUGCUCACACCCUUCGCGACACGAUGACGAGUUUUUACAAGGUCUACCGUAUGUGUAGAGUGCUCUGAGACUCCAUGGUGGGAUCCUUGAGCAUGAUUAUCUUGUGUUUAAACUGCCAUCAUCUGUGCAAACGAAACCUGGAAAUAUCGACGGCAGUCCUUGGUUCGUAUGUACGAUGCAGCGAUUCCCUUGAUUCUAUAUUUUACGAGGUUUUUCGAAGGAUGACCGAUCAGAUGUAGAAGUGUUUAUGCUACACCCUUGCAUCAAUUCCUCCUGAAACUCUAAUGUACUGUGGUCUCGAGGUGUGAACUUUACAUCCUCCUCUGGACCAGUCUACUUUUAUAGCGUGUACUGCUCUACUCAUACGGGAGUGGGGAUCGGAUCGUUUUGCUCGAUGACGUUGACAGCAUUUUAACACUAACACCUGUAUGAAGACAACUCGUGCCUCUUCCCUUAGCUACUUCGGUGUCGUGAACUCAGGUUACAAUAUCUGCAUUUGAAUACUUCAUUUCUAUGCCCCUAGUAAGGCAUAUGAUAUUCGUGGUUGACAGUCAUCAGUUGUAUUAUUCCCAGAAGAAUUUAGAUUUCUCUUUUGUCUCUUGGGCCGAAGAAUGAAAUACUUAAGAAGAUGGAAUGGUUGAUGCAAUGACGACAACAAAAAGCUCCCCUCUGUAUCAUUAACCAUUGGGGUGAGAUCGAAUGCACUUCUUUCAUGCGUCUGAACCAGAGAAUACGUAAGCUUGCCACUGGCUGGGUAUCGCUUCUUGAGGUCAUUACAGAGGAAAGGCGCAUGAAAGACUACUGUAAAUGCCGCUAGAGCUAGUGCACCAUCACAUGCAUGAGUGAAAUCGGAGGUUUCACCGAUCUUGGAACUUCAAUCUUCUGAGAUGUGUCAAUGGAUUCCAUCAUGCUGUUCGUAUUUAAAGGGUAGAAUAUUCAUGAAAAGAUGUAGACAAUCUUGGCGUUCACAACCGGUUUGCAGUUGCAGUCAAGAUAUCCACAGUAACUAUGGGAUGACUUUACAGAACUAUAUUGAGAAACUGAGUAGGUAGAGUAUUUAGUAUUUGACAUGCGGGUCAACACGCCUACUUUUCUUCACACCGGACAUUGUCUCGAACUCAACUGUAAUCUUGCAUUUCAGUGUUUUAAUUCAAAGGGUAUGGGCUCUACAAACUUUUGAGCAGGCACUGCCCCUAACUAUCGCCAUGGAA